CCUACGGGAGGCUGCAGUGGGGAAUAUUGCGCAAUGGGCGAAAGCCUGACGGAGCGACGCCGCGUGAGGGAUGAAGGUCUUCGGAUCGUAAACCUCUGUCAGCAGGGACGAACGGUCACUGUGCUAAACAGCAGUGAAUUGACGGUACCUGCAAAGGAAGCACCGGCUAACUCCGUGCCAGCAGCCGCGGUAAUACGGAGGGUGCGAGCGUUAAUCGGAAUUACUGGGCGUAAAGCGCUCGUAGGCGGUAUGUCAAGUCAAGGGUGAAAGCCCCGCGCUCAACGGGGGAACUGCCUUUGAAACGGGCAAACUGGAGUGUGUGAGAGGAUAGUGGAAUUCCAGGUGUAGGAGUGAAAUCCGUAGAUAUCUGGAGGAACAUCAGUGGCGAAGGCGACUAUCUGGCACAUAACUGACGCUGAGGAGCGAAAGCAUGGGUAGCGAACAGGAUUAGAUACCCUGGUAGUC
rnacentral:rRNA from 1 species